CUUUUUCUUCAUUUGAACCCUUAUACAGCCGACACACACCCUUUCAUCUUCAUUCUCUCCUCUCUAAAACAAAACCCUAGCCCCUUACCACUCAAGAAUCACACCCCUCGUCUCUCUCUGAUACGGGUCCGGCAACCGAAGAAGCUCCGGCCGGCGACGGUUUGGGUUUACGGCGGCAGUAACGCGUAGGAGAGAGAGAGAGAGAGUUAGAGAGAGAGAACUGACGGAGCGAGAGAGAGAAGGACGGCGACGGCGACUCACGGCGGAACCGUCAGUCUGACGAGUAGCAGCGGCAACGAUAACCUCCGGGUAGCUACAGUCCUGGAUCAAGUCAAGGAAACGCUCUCUCACGACAAUAGUUCAGAUCACGGGCCGAAGACCCCAGCUACUGUUUCUUCAAUCCUUAUAGAAUUGCACCGAAGCUGUAAAGGAUUCGCGAGUGCUGGAUUUUGGAGGAGCAACGAUUAGCAUUCAUUAGUGAAUAAUGGCGAUUUUGUAAUUUAAAUGUGCUUCGAAUUUAUAUUAUUUGUUUUUGUUAAAUUUAUGUACCGAAUCAUAUUUAUCAUUAUGCAUUUUUAGCAGGAA